rnacentral:rRNA from 1 species
UACGUAGGGGGCAAGCGUUAUCCGGAUUUAUUGGGCGUAAAGCGCGCGUAGGCGGUUUGUUAAGUCAGAUGUGAAAACCGGAGGCUCAACCUGCGGCCUGCAUCUGAAACUGGCAGACUUGAGUCUGGUAGAGGGAAAUGGAAUUCCCAGUGUAGCGGUGAAAUGCGCAGAUAUUGGGAGGAACACCAGUGGCGAAGGCGGUUUCCUGGGCCACGACUGACGCUGAGGCGCGAAAGCUAGGGGAGCGAACAGG